rnacentral:rRNA from 1 species
GACGAACGCUGGCGGCGUGCUUAACACAUGCAAGUCGAACGAGUGGCGAACGGGUGAGUAAUACGUGAGUAACCUGCCCUCUUUUUGGGAUAAGCCUUUGGAACGGGGUCUAAUACCGGCUCAAGGGGGAUGGGCUCGCGGCCUAUCAGCGUGUUGGUGGGGUGAUGGCCUACCAAGGCGGUGACGGGUAGCCGGCCUGAGGGGGUGACCGGCGACAUUGGGACGGCGCUGCGGCCCAGGCGCGUAAGCGAUGCAGCAGUGGGGGCUAUUGCACAAUGGGUGAAAGCGUGAUGCAGCGAAUAUGAGUGGGGGAUGAAGGUUUUCGGGUUGUAAACCUCUUUCGCUAUAGAACGGGUAGGUGGAGAAGAAGCGCCGGCUAACUACGUGCCAGCAGCCGCGGUAAUUC